UCGACAGUGACAUCUCUACACGAGACAUCGCGCCGCACUUGAACAAGUGUCCGAACGGCGCCGGCAGGUCGACGGUGAAACUGCCGCAGUGCCUUUCACAUCCGGGCGUCCGUCGACCCUCCGCGAUCACCUCUGGUGCGGGAACGCACCGUUCGCGUCGCCGCGUCAACAUGCGAUCUGUGAACGCCACGAAACUGAGUCACGAGUACCUUCUGUUCGCCAAGAAAACACUUGAUACCUGGCAGAAGGACGAAAUACGACUUGCUGAAGUCGGAACCGUGUAACACAGACCACUCCUGCAGCCUUCGCGAUCCGGCGUCGCGGUGCUUGGAGCAGUUCUGCGUCUGCCAGCAAGGAUUCACGGACAAGUUUGGCGACCGCUGCAAGAAGCUGGUUCAGCUCGGAGACCUGUGCAGCGAGAACCACGUCUGCUCCGGAGACGCCGUCGAGUGCGUCGAUGGCCGCUGCGUCUGUCAAAAGGGCUAUGCGGAAGACGAGAGUCUCUGCGUCAAGUCGGAUCCGUCCAGGGCAAACAGCAAGAUGAUAUUGUACAUCGUGUGCUCGGCGACGUUACUGUUUGUGGUCGGAGGAGUGAGUUCUAUGAUGUACUCGCAGCUGAAGCAGAGGACGGGGAAGGAUCAGACGUGCGACAAUUGUUUUCUCGCGCAGUGCAGUAUACUAUGACGGGGAAUCGAGUUAAUCUGCGGCUGUUGUCGGUAACACGUACAAUGGAGGUGUGCUCGUGGGCAGGUUGUAUUUUUCGUUUCUUUUCUGGUCGUUUCGGACCGUAAAAAAAGUAGGUCGUGCUUUCUGUCGACAUGAAGCGUUGUUUUGUUAGCAUCACUAACGUAGAAGCAUCGUGCGCUGCGCACGGCGAUUCGAUUCUCUUGUGAACCGUGACAAGAGUUGUGUGACGUAGUUGUGGCCUCCGGCAAACUGAUCAACGCCAGGGUGUCCAUCUCGCCACAAGGUAAUGUUCGUGAAUCCAAUUAAAGUCAAUGCCCUUUAACAGAUCGUUCCAA